AAACAAUGAAAGAUCCUUGAAAUCCUCCUCAGAACAGGAAGAAAUUCAAAAAAUGUGGUCCAAAUAAAGAACAUCCGCGUAGCGCGUCAGAACACGUCCGUUCCCAUCCACGGGCGACAACAAACUGUCGAAUAUUCGUACGUAUUAAUUUUGUAGCACGUUAAAUGUUUUUUACUGUCUUCAAUGGAUUAACUGUUACGCAUUCCUCGCGAUGUAGACAAACGCUAUUAUAAACAAUCGCUUUGUUGACAUUCCUGCGGCGAAGCUCGAGCACGAAGGACAUUCCUGCGGCGAAGCUCGAGCACGAAGGACGCAAGACUCUGUGCGUCGUUGUAUUAUUUCUCGAAAUAUAAUUUCGACAAAUAUCAAGUGCCAAAUACGAUCAACGAAAAAUUAAAGAUUGUCAGCCAGCGGGAGUAAUUAAUUCUCGCAAUAAUCGUGUCUCUGAAUUAAUCGUACUGUCCGAAUAAAGUUGCCGAUGCCAUUUUUCGAUUUCUUACUCAUUAAUAAAACAUCGCGGACACAUAAAACGAUUUGUUUCAUUAUGGCAAUACGUAUAAUUAAUAAAUACAGUCGUUAUUAAUUCCGCAUUUUAAUGUUUCUCCAUUGCCAGUCGAAUAUUCGAUCUUAUAUAUCAAUGAUUUCGUGAAACUCGUAUUUUAUCGAAUUUAAUCGCGCGAGUUAAUAAAACAAUAGUAUAUUCUUAGACUAUAUAUAAUUAUUUAUUUUUAUCUUGUGUUAUAAUAAGAGAUAAGAAAAUACGUACGUAUACUAUCUGUUAAAAAUAGAGAUAGACCAUAUACGGUCCAUUACAGAUAGAGAUAGCAAUGUAAAUGCGACGCAACUUUCAAUGCCGAAUCAUAACUUCGUGUAAUAGUUUUUGGUUUUCGCAUAAUUUUGUCACUGUAUAAAAUAAAAUACAUCGCGUGUGAGAUAAACUGAGAAUAUUAUGUAAAGUGCGAUCGUCGUAUUCUGGUGAUUAGUGCGCGCGUGAUCAUAAUUAAUCGUUUUCGCACAAAUGAAUGUCGUGUGAGUGCCAUAAAGGAGCAACAAAGGAGACGACAAACAAGAGAGAAGAUGGUCCAAAAAGGCAUUAAAAGACAGCAACCAUGAGAUAAAUAAUCGACCAAUAUCAUUUCAAUGUUCGACAAUAGUCUAAUAGUGCGGUCAGUGAAUGAACAAGAAUGGUAAGAAUUUGAAUGCGGCCCUGAGAGUAGCAACCGGCCUGCGUCGAGGACACCAGGUACGAAUAUAUUAAAGGUUCUGUUCCCAACGGGUGGCUGCCGGCCGUGUCCGGACGUGUCAUAUUAGGAUAACCAGGUCUCCAGGAUUCCAUACCUCGUCCCCCGCUUCGUUUGCGACGCGAGGAUCCGGCAUGAUACACGCGCAGGUGGACUUUGAUUGUGACACGCACACUUGCACGAGAGAUUUGAAGAGAGAGAGACUGACUAGUGAUUAAAAUAAAUAAAUAAACUGCCCACGCGCAGUUUAUUUAUUUCCGCAAUGUUUUCGCAGCCAAAUGCAAAAAUCGAGGUACUAUUGUGAGGAUGUUACAUUUUGAAACGGAAGCGCGAUUAAAAAUUGCUUAUUCGGUGAUCGGUAAUUUCGUGUAUUGGAAAAAAUCUAAAUUACUUACAUGAAUUAUUGUAUUUUACGGUUUAUUGCAAGUAUAACAAAAAACUAACAAAUACAUACUGUUAAAUAAUGAAAUACGAAUGUAAUUUUGUUACAUGUCGUAAAAAUGUCAAACUCGGAAAACAAAUGACAUUUUUUUCCAGAUUUACAACCAUUUAUUUUACCGUUACUUUAAUGUGAGGCCUGCAAGGGUCUCUUGGCCUUCAACGUAAUGUUUCGGCUCAACUUUAUAUUGUGUUUACGUGCUCGUCGGCAUCUAAUGUGUCCUCUGACAUAUUUAUUUGUUCGAACGAAUAAUGAACCUGGCCUUCGAGUGCCAUGCUAUCAGUGAUAUCGAACGUCGAGCGAUCGUUGCGCUAUCAAAAUAAUACGUGAUUUGUCGACGCCCAGUUGACAGUGGGAGAUAACGCAAUAGAGGUGCCGCGCAAAAAAAAUUCACGUCAAAUUUUAAUCAACGGAAAAUAGCGAUAGAAUAAAAAAAUUGUAAUAAUUACGAUCAAUUAAUUUACACAUACGCAUUAUUUUAAAAUUAAAUAUCUCAACUAUAUGUGCAUAAUAAUAUUUAAGCAGAUGGAAAAAUGUUGAAGAAAAAUUGGCCAAGGGAAACGUAUAUAUAUAUAUAGCUCUUCGAGUUGCUUUCGUACUUAUCCUUGCUGUUUGAUCGCGUGUCAAAGUCGGCUUUAUGUUGCUACUAUUACCGCCACUAUCGUUUGUUACGGAAUACAUAGUUAUUACACCGCGUAUGCUCAGCAUGCUAAUAUAUUUAUACUAAUAACAGUUUCUCUGAGUUUGAAUAAAAUCAAAAAAUCCCAUGCGAUAUGAUAACGAAUUGUUUAUCACCACGAAUAUCAUGAUGCCAUAGUUGCGACGUUUAAAUGGUUGCAACCUUUAUCUAGAAUACCUAAUCUAUCUGCUCGUUGAAUGUAACUUAGCAUUUCACGAAGAGACUUGAAAUCGGAGAACGGCGUAGCUAAAAGUAUAUCGCAAAGUAAUAAAACGGUUCAUAACAACGGGAAAGUCUCGCGUGCUGGGCGAAAGGUAAGAGAAACGAUGACGCGAUGGAACAAGAUGUACAGCAUGCGCUUGGACGCGUCGUUUCCCCGAAACCGACCCGGGAAAGCGACCUGAAAUUAUUAUCCAACUUUGUGCGAGCAACAAGUGUCGUUAAAUCAACUCCGCGUCGCCCAUCUCGCGUAUCGUGCGGUUGUGUAUCACUUCGCACGCCACACAUGCACGCACGGAAUAUUUAAAGAAACGUUACCUAAGCUGU